rnacentral:tRNA from 1 species
UCCAAGGAAGAGACAUUAAACCUCACCACCCAACACCCAAAGCUGGAAUUCUACAUAAACUAUUCCUUG